rnacentral:rRNA from 1 species
AAUGAACGCUGGCAGCAGGCCUAACACAUGCAAGUCGAACGGAUCCUUCGGGAUUAGUGGCGGACGGGUGAGUAACGCGUGGGAACAUACCCUUUGGUACGGAAUAGCCUCGGGAAACUGGGAGUAAUACCGUAUGUGGUCGAGAGACGAAAGAUUUAUCGCCAAAGGAUUGGCCCGCGUUGGAUUAGGUAGUUGGUGGGGUAAUGGCCUACCAAGCCGACGAUCCAUAGCUGGUUUGAGAGGAUGAUCAGCCACACUGGGACUGAGACACGGCACAGACUCCUACGGGAGGCAGCAGUGGGGAAUCUUAGACAAUGGGGGAAACCCUGAUCUAGCCAUGCCGCGUGAUCGAUGAAGGCCUUAGAGUUGUAAAGAUCUUUCAGGUGGGAAGAUAAUGACUGUACCACCAGAAGAAGCCCCGGCUAACUCCGUGCCAGCCGCCGCCGUAAUAC